GGAAGGCUCUGCCCACCUGCAGUCCCCGCGGGGCAGAAGGCUGGGGCCGUGGGGGGCCUCGGGUGGGUGUUGGGACCCCUGACAGUGACGGUGAUUCCCAGUAUCUGCCACCCCGCGAGUGGCUUCCCUCCCUGUCCCCCGGGGCCCCAACACCAGCCUGAUACCACACCAGGACCCCCAGGCCAGGCCCUGAGGGGCAGCCUGAGCCCCACGCACAGUCCCAGGGGACCCAAGACUGAGGCAGUUCCUGUGGAGACUCUGCCCACUCGGCUCCUGGGACCGCUACCCGAGAGCUGGGCACCCGCUUCCCUCCUCCUUCCGUGUCCCAGCCAGGGUCCCCCCCAGUCCUGUGCUGUGGAGGCCGCCCCCAUGGCCCCCCAACCCCUGGGCCAAGCUGCCUGGCAGAGUCUGGA
rnacentral:lncRNA from 1 species